rnacentral:rRNA from 1 species
UACAGAGGUCUCAAGCGUUGUUCGGAUUCAUUGGGCGUAAAGGGUGCGUAGGCGGCGCGGUAAGUCGGAUGUGAAAUCUCGGAGCUUAACUUCGAAACCGCAUUCGAUACUGCCGUGCUUGAGGACUGGAGAGGAGACUGGAAUUUACGGUGUAGCGGUGAAAUGCGUAGAUAUCGUAAGGAAGACCAGUGGCGAAGGCGGGUCUCUGGACAGUUCCUGACGCUGAGGCACGAAGGUCAGGGGAGCAAACGGG